GGCACUUUGGCGGAGUGGUUAACGCGUUGCCCUGCUACUAAAUUCUAAAAAGUCAGGCAAUUCCUUCGGGAGCAAGAGUUCGAAUCUCUUAGGUGUCG